GAUACGCGAGGAACCUUACCUGGGCUAGAAUGCGGUUUGACCGCCGGUGAAAGCCGGUUUUGUAGCAAUACACAGAUCGUAAGGUGCUGCAUGGCUGUCGUCAGCUCGUGCCGUGAGGUGUUGGGUUAAGUCCCGCAACGAGCGCAACCCUUGCCCUGUGUUGCCAGCAUUAAGUUGGGCACUCUCAGGGGACCGCCAGCGAUAAGCUGGAGGAAGGUGGGGAUGACGUCAAGUCAGCAUGGCCUUUAUGUCCAGGGCUACACACGUGCUACAAUGGCCGGUACAACGCGACGCCAACCCGCGAGGGGGAGCAAAUCGCAAAAAACCGGUCUCAGUUCGGAUCGCAGGCUGCAAUUCGCCUGCGUGAAGCUGGAAUCGCUAGUAAUGCCGCAUCAGCAUGGCGGCGUGAAUACGUUCCCGGGCCUUGUACACACCGCCCGUCACAUCACGAAAGUGGGUUGUACUAGAAGUCCGCGUGCUAACCGCAAGGAGGCAGCGGCCCAAGGUAUGACUCAUGAUUGGGGUGAAGUCGUAACAAGGUAGCCGUAGGAGAACC
rnacentral:rRNA from 1 species